rnacentral:misc_RNA from 1 species
AAAAGGAGGUCGAGCGGACAGUGAAACUUGGUUUGUUGUCCCCCCGUCAUGCGAAAACAAGCACGAUGGGACAGGAUUACGAUCUGAAGUUGGACCCUUGGAUGCAGAACGUUGUGUGGGUGUUGAUGUUAAAUCGUCGCACACCCAAAGCGUUGUACGCUAACGAUGGAUGACAUUCGAGUGCGAGGUGACCCUUUCUUGAUCGAAAGGGCUCAUGCGUGCCGAUGUCGACCGAGGAGUGCUACCUGGUUGAUCCUG